rnacentral:rRNA from 1 species
AGGUGGCUUCGGCUACCACUUACAGAUGGACCCGCGGCGCAUUAGCUAGUUGGUGAGGUAAUGGCUCACCAAGGCAACGAUGCGUAGCCGACCUGAGAGGGUGAUCGGCCACACUGGGACUGAGACACGGCCCAGACUCCUACGGGAGGCAGCAGUAGGGAAUCUUCCGCAAUGGACGAAAGUCUGACGGAGCAACGCCGCGUGAGUGAUGAAGGUUUUCGGAUCGUAAAGCUCUGUUGUUAGGGAAGAACAAGUGCCGUUCAAAUAGGGCGGCACCUUGACGGUACCUAACCAGAAAGCCACGGCUAACUACGUGCCAGCAGCCGCGGUAAUACGUAGGUGGCAAGCGUUGUCCGGAAUUAUUGGGCGUAAAGGGCUCGCAGGCGGGUUUCUUAAGUCUGAUGUGAAAGCCCCCGGCUCAACCGGGGAGGGUCAUUGGAAACUGGGGAACUUGAGUGCAGAAGAGGAGAGUGGAAUUCCACGUGUAGCGGUGAAAUGCGUAGAGAUGUGGAGGAACACCAGUGGCGAAGGCGACUCUCUGGUCUGUAACUGACGCUGAGGAGCGAAAGCGUGGGGAGCGAACAGGAUUAGAUACCCUGGUAGUCCACGCCGUAAACGAUGAGUGCUAAGUGUUAGGGGGGUUUCCGCCCCCUUAGUGCUGCAGCUAACGCAUUAAGCACUCCGCCUGGGGGAGUACGGGUCGCAAAGACUGAAAACUCAAAAGGAAUUUGACGGGGGGCCCGCACAAACCGGUGGAAGCAUGUGGGUUUAAUUCGAAAGCAACGCGAAAGAACCUUUACCAGGGUCUUUGACAUCCCUCUUGACACCCCC